CCUGCUUUCAACUUCCAUCAUUGCCUCUUUGGUGUUAUUAGUGUCACAACACUCAAGAACAGAAGGUACACUGUAAAACAAUGGAAGUGAGAUGAAUUAAAGUGGUCCAACACUACUAUUUAGGUGCAUGUGGUGUCCGAAAAGGAAGGUACACCGUUCUUUGGAGGAUUCCCUGAAACAAAGCACUGGAACACUUGAAGUGUGCAAACAAAGAGUUUAUUAGGAACAGUGGCUCAUGUCACAAACUCACUUCACACCACGGAACCUCAUCUGCGUUCGCGCGAAAAAGCCCCCGUUAUAUAUAGUGCCCCCAAUAACGGUUCCCGCUUCUUUUAGGAACUAACCAAUAACAAUUAUCCUUUGUCAACUUAAACCCUACAGGCCGGCAGGAACCUUUCUUUUACAAAACUCUUGAGGAUUCGUUCUUGGUGUAAAAUACCACAGUGCAAUUUACUGAUAUCUGCCAGCUGGCUACAAAAACAAUUUGCAAUGACCGUGCAGCAAAACAAACAAAAAAAAUGUUGUCUUAAAUAAGCUGAGAAACGCCAAUAUUUUUGAAAACUUGCCACUGGGCCGUUGGUCAAUGCAGGAGACUGCAAUGCAGAGGUGGAACCGCUCAUCCUCACCACAAGGUGGCACUGUUGCUACUGUCGGAAUACGAAAAACGCCUUCGUUGACAAGCAGAAAGUGAAAGAAAAGUCAGACGUUACACAACGUACGCUUCGAGGAUAUUUUAUUCUCACCGUUUCAAAAGGACAUUUUCUGUUUCUCCCAUUAUAUUCUGUGGAUAACUGAAGUUGAGAGGAGUGAAAGUCUCUACAGGUAUAGGAGCUGACGCAUCCACUGAAGAGAAUAUGCGCGGAUACUCUCAUUUUUUGAUUCUACUGAGUCACGUAUCAGAAGUCUUGGCCGUAGUCGACAUGAAGUGCAGUGCCGAGAGUCGCGACAGAAGCGCUGUGCUGACAUGUGUAGCAGCUGGAAACUGUGAAGAGCAAGUCACCAUUGCUCACCUCAUGUGGAAAAGGGAUUCAGUGCCACUUGUUACACUGUCAGAAAACGGAAUUGAGAGCAAGGAACCAGAGCGCUUUGAAUUAAAGGAGGAGCCAUGGCAUGCCGAUUCCUGGGCCACUUCUCUGCAGAUAAACAACGUUAAAAGUCAGGACAAGGGAAGGUACAGCUGUAGUGUAAUCACUGAUUGUGGUGUAUGGAAAGGAUCAGUUUAUUUGGACAUUCCAGAAACCGUGGAACUCCCGAAUCCAACACCACCACCACCACCGUCAGCAGAUAAUGGAGUAAUUGGAAAACGGGAACAGGACCCGAUACCCCCUGCUGAAAACACAGGACACCAUAAAGCAGCACUGGCAGGAACCGUUGCAACCCUUGUUGUGCUGAUUGCUGUGCUUGUUGCUGUGCGAAAACGGCAUCUCAUUGAGCAGCAGACGAGCAGGUUGCGGUUCAUUUUCCAUAAAAGAGCCGCACAAGCAGAAGAGGAACAGGAGCAGUACAUCAAGAACAUCAGGGAAGAGCAUGAUCCAGUGUAGAGAAGAUGGCACAGACACAAAUUUGGGGGUGAAAACUCAGUUCAAACACUUCACAUGUAAAUGUAAAUGUGAAGGGAAACCUGAGAAGCAGUUAUUACUCCCACAUGUUGUGAGGAGGACUGUUUAUUCUCUUUUGUGUGACGGUUGCGGUUGUCCACAAUCCUAGUCUUACAGCUGUAAUAGUAAGCGAGUGUCUCUGUACUGCACAGUGGCUCUCCACUAAAAACACUACUGUAUGCCGUAUGCUCUAUAUGUGUGUACCCACAUGUGCAAAUGUAUGUAAAUAUUACAGAAAAUGUAAUACUGUUGUGACUUGGGUGACCUGUGAUUUCUUGUCUUCAUUGCUAACAUUAAUGAGCAUGCUGUAUAUUAAUGUUAAUAUUACAUAAGAAAGGGGGCGCGGUGGCGCAGUGGGUUGGACCACAGUCCUGCUCUCCGGUGGGUCUGGGGUUCGAGUCCCGCUUGGGGUGCCUUGUGGCGGACUGGCGUCCCGUCCUGGGUGUGUCCCCUCCCCCUCUGGCCUUACGCCCUGUGUUGCCGGGUAGGCUCCGGUUCCCCGUGACCCUGUAAGGGACAAGCGGUUCUGAAAAUGUGUGUGUGUGUGUGUAUUACAUAAGAGACGGUCCCGCUUGGGGUGCCUUGUGAUGGACUGGCGUCCUGUCCUGGGUGUGUCCCCUCCCCCUCCAGCCUUACGCCCUGUGUUGCAGGGUUAGGCUCCGGUUCCCCACGACCCCGUAUGGGACAAGCGGUUCAGAAAAUGUGUGUGUGUGUGUGUGUGUGUGUGUAUUACAUAAGAAGUCCAGGUUUUAAGAAUUACUGGAUAUCUGAAUGUUUCUAUAAUCUUAAAUUUGAAAAUGUCUUGUUCAAAAACAAUAAAGUUAUUUUUAAUAAACUGUGAACUGUUCA
ensembl:lncRNA